rnacentral:rRNA from 1 species
GAUGAACGCUGGCGGCGUGCUUAACACAUGCAAGUCGAACGAGCCUUGUCGGACGGAUCCCUUCGGGGUGAAGACUGGCGCUGGAAAGUGGCGGACGGGUGAGUAAUGUGUAGAGAAUCUGCCCUGAAGUGGGGGACAACAGAGGGAAACUCCUGCUAAUACCCCAUAUGAGCGUAGUUGAGAUACUAUUCUUGAAAGAUUUAUCGCUUCAGGAUGAGUCUGCAUCUGAUUAGCUAGUUGGGGGUGUAAUGGACCACCAAGGCGACGAUCAGUAGCUGGUUUGAGAGGAUGAUCAGCCACAAUGGGACUGAGACACGGCCCAUACUCC